AGAGUUUGAUCAUGGCUCAGAGUGAACGCUGGCGGCGUGGCUUAGGCAUGCAAGUCGAACGUGAAACCCCGCAAGGGGGAGUAAAGUGGCGAAAGGGUGAGUAAUGUAUGGGCAACGUACCCCUGGGAUCAGGACAACUACUGGAAACGGUAGCUAAUACUGAAUGGCCAGGUUCUGUGGCAUCACGGAGCCUGUAAGCGGUAGGGAAACCUUCUGCCCAGGGAGCGGCCCAUAUCCUAUCAGCUAGUUGGUGGGGUAAUGGCCCACCAAGGCUUUGACGGGUAGCCGAACUGAGAGGUUGAUCGGCCACACUGGGACUGAGACACUGCCCAGACUCCUACGGGAGGCUGCAGUCGAGAAUCUUCCGCAAUGGGCGCAAGCCUGACGGGGCGACGCCGCGUGCAGGAUGAAGGCCUUCGGGUUGUAAACUGCUGUUGCGCGCUAAGAACGCCUUGGGGUUAAUAGCUCUCAAGGUUGACUAUCGUUGAGAAGCACAGAUCCCGCCU
rnacentral:rRNA from 1 species